UACAUGGGUGACAAGGAGGUCAGGUGUUA
rnacentral:piRNA from 1 species